GCAUAGGCACGUGCGUAAAUCCGGCCCUGGGCCCACCCAUAUAGUUCCUGCCUAGUAUAACCUGUUAUUCGUGGAAUUUUAAUCCCGAAUUUUAUAGUCCAUUUUUGUUGAUUCAUCGUACUUCGGCUUGACAGGUUGUGACAGAAGACCUGAGAGAGCUUCCUUGACAUAGAACCUUCAUCCCAACCAAGAAUUCCACCAUUAGAAGUAUGAAACAGAACAAGAUGAAGUUCACUCUGUUUACUGCUAUUCUUUUCUCUAUGGAGUGGAUGAGUAUUGAAGGAUCAGUAGAUUAUGGUCCAUCAUGCUGCCUUAUAGUGUCAAACACCAGAAUACCAGUUGGACACAUUUUGAGUUAUAGAAUACAAGAUUUGGUUCCAUGUCCUGUUAGGGCUGUAAG